AGGGUGGUCAAACCCUGGAACAGUGUUUCUCAGCACAGGAAAGACAUGGACCUGUUGGAGCAGGUCCAGAGGACAGUCACAAAAAUGAUCGGAGGGCUGGAAUGCCUCUCCUAUGAGGACAGGCUGAGAGAGCUGGGGUUGUUCAGCCUGGAGAGAAGGCGGCUCUGGGGAGACCUUAUUCCAGCCUUUCAAUACUUAAAGGGGCUUAUAAGAAAGAAGGGGACAAACUUUUUGCAGGGCCUGUAAUGAUAGGACAAGGUGUAAUGGUUUUGAACUAAAAGAGGGUAGCUUUAGACUAGAUAUAAGGAAGACAUUUUUUAUGAUGAGGGUCGUGAAACACUGGAACAGCUUGCCCAGAGAGGUGGUAGA